rnacentral:rRNA from 1 species
UGGUGCGCAGGCGCGAAAACUUUACAAUGCUGGAAACAGCGAUAAGGGGACCUCGAGUGCCAGGUUACAAAUCUGGCUGUCGUGAUGCCUAAAAAGCAUUGCAUAGCAAGGGCCGGGCAAGACCGGUGCCAGCCGCCGCGGUAACACCGGCGGCUCGAGUGGUAACCGUUAUUAUUGGGUCUAAAGGGUCUGUAGCCGGCCGGAUAAGUCUCUUGGGAAAUCCAGCAGCUCAACUGAUGGGCUUUCAGGAGAUACUGUCUGGCUCGAGGCCGGGAGAGGUGAGAGGUACUUCAGGGGUAGGGGUGAAAUCUUGUAAUCCUUGAAGGACCACCAGUGGCGAAGGCGUCUCACCAGAACGGACCUGACGGCAAGGGACGAAAGCUAGGGGCACGAACCGGAUUAGAUACCCGGGUAGUCCUAGCCGUAAACGAUACUCGCUAGGUGUCGGCCACGGUGCGACCGUUGUCGGUGCCGUAGGGAAGCCGUGAAGCGAGCCACCUGGGAAGUACGGCCGCAAGGCUGAAACUUAAAGGAAUUGGCGGGGGAGCAC